rnacentral:rRNA from 1 species
CCUACGGGUGGCAGCGGUGAGGAAUAUUGGUCAAUGGACGAGAGUCUGAACCAGCCAAGUAGCGUGAAGGAUGACUGCCCUAUGGGUUGUAAACUUCUUUUAUAUGGGAAUAAAACGUUCCACGUGUGGGAUUUUGUAUGUACCAUAUGAAUAAGGAUCGGCUAACUCCGUGCCAGCAGCCGCGGUAAUACGGAGGAUCCGAGCGUUAUCCGGAUUUAUUGGGUUUAAAGGGAGCGUAGGUGGAUUGUUAAGUCAGUUGUGAAAGUUUGCGGCUCAACCGUAAAAUUGCAGUUGAAACUGGCAGUCUUGAGUACAGUAGAGGUGGGCGGAAUUCGUGGUGUAGCGGUGAAAUGCUUAGAUAUCACGAAGAACUCCGAUUGCGAAGGCAGUUCACUGGACUGCAACUGACACUGAGGCUCGAAAGUGUGGGUAUCAAACAGGAUUAGAUACCCCUGUAGUC